ACACUCUCAAGCUCUGCUUGGUAUUGGAGGCCGCCCCGGCGGGGCGUCUCCGAAACGCAGCGGCGACGUAGCUGGAUCCCUGGCGUAGUGACAUUACUUUCGCCCUGGAGACGGUCGUGCGUCCGCCGGACAACGCCCCUAUUCUG
rnacentral:misc_RNA from 1 species